CAGGGACCGGACGGUUUCUCUGCGUCCCGGCUCAAACUCCUGGGCCAGAACCAGUCGGCCCGGCUCACUGUGCCAAGACGGGCCACAGGCCGCAGGCCACGUGACACAGGUCAACGGCCGGCUGCCCGUGGGUGAGCCAGUGAGCACAGGAGGCCCCUGGGCAGCCCUUCGA